UUCUUGAUUUAAAAGCUACUUCACUAUGUA
rnacentral:piRNA from 1 species